rnacentral:rRNA from 1 species
GGGUUGUGAGGUUAAGCGACUAAGCGUACACGGUGGAUGCCCUGGCAGUCAGAGGCGAUGAAGGACGUGCUAAUCUGCGAUAAGCGUCGGUAAGGUGAUAUGAACCGUUAUAACCGGCGAUUUCCGAAUGGGGAAACCCAGUGUGUUUCGACACACUAUCAUUAACUGAAUCCAUAGGUUAAUGAGGCGAACCGGGGGAACUGAAACAUCUAAGUACCCCGAGGAAAAGAAAUCAACCGAGAUUCCCCCAGUAGCGGCGAGCGAACGGGGAGGAGCCCAGAGCCUGAAUCAGUGUGUGUGUUAGUGGAAGCGUCUGGAAAGGCGUGCGAUACAGGGUGACAGCCCCGUACACAAAAAUGCACAUAUUGUGAGCUCGAUGAGUAGGGCGGGACACGUGGUAUCCUGUCUGAAUAUGGGGGGACCAUCCUCCAAGGCUAAAUACUCCUGACUGACCGAUAGUGAACCAGUACCGUGAGGGAAAGGCGAAAAGAACCCCGGCGAGGGGAGUGAAAAAGAACCUGAAACCGUGUACGUACAAGCAGUGGGAGCCUCUUUAUGGGGUGACUGCGUACCUUUUGUAUAAUGGGUCAGCGACUUAUAUUCUGUAGCAAGGUUAACCGAAUAGGGGAGCCGAAGGGAAACCGAGUCUUAACUGGGCGUUAAGUUGCAGGGUAUAGACCCGAAACCCGGUGAUCUAGCCAUGGGCAGGUUGAAGGUUGGGUAACACUAACUGGAGGACCGAACCGACUAAUGUUGAAAAAUUAGCGGAUGACUUGUGGCUGGGGGUGAAAGGCCAAUCAAACCGGGAGAUAGCUGGUUCUCCCCGAAAGCUAUUUAGGUAGCGCCUCGUGAAUUCAUCUCCGGGGGUAGAGCACUGUUUCGGCAAGGGGGUCAUCCCGACUUACCAACCCGAUGCAAACUGCGAAUACCGGAGAAUGUUAUCACGGGAGACACACGGCGGGUGCUAACGUCCGUCGUGAAGAGGGAAACAACCCAGACCGCCAGCUAAGGUCCCAAAGUCAUGGUUAAGUGGGAAACGAUGUGGGAAGGCCCAGACAGCCAGGAUGUUGGCUUAGAAGCAGCCAUCAUUUAAAGAAAGCGUAAUAGCUCACUGGUCGAGUCGGCCUGCGCGGAAGAUGUAACGGGGCUAAACCAUGCACCGAAGCUGCGGCAGCGACACUAUGUGUUGUUGGGUAGGGGAGCGUUCUGUAAGCCUGUGAAGGUGGCCUGUGAGGGUUGCUGGAGGUAUCAGAAGUGCGAAUGCUGACAUAAGUAACGAUAAAGCGGGUGAAAAGCCCGCUCGCCGGAAGACCAAGGGUUCCUGUCCAACGUUAAUCGGGGCAGGGUGAGUCGACCCCUAAGGCGAGGCCGAAAGGCGUAGUCGAUGGGAAACAGGUUAAUAUUCCUGUACUUGGUGUUACUGCGAAGGGGGACGGAGAAGGCUAUGUUGGCCGGGCGACGGUUGUCCCGGUUUAAGCGUGUAGGCUGGUUUUCCAGGCAAAUCCGGAAAACCAAGGCUGAGGCGUGAUGACGAGGCACUACGGUGCUGAAGCGACAAAUGCCCUGCUUCCAGGAAAAGCCUCUAAGCAUCAGGUAACAUCAAAUCGUACCCCAAACCGACACAGGUGGUCAGGUAGAGAAUACCAAGGCGCUUGAGAGAACUCGGGUGAAGGAACUAGGCAAAAUGGUGCCGUAACUUCGGGAGAAGGCACGCUGAUAUGUAGGUGAAGCGACUUGCUCGUGGAGCUGAAAUCAGUCGAAGAUACCAGCUGGCUGCAACUGUUUAUUAAAAACACAGCACUGUGCAAACACGAAAGUGGACGUAUACGGUGUGACGCCUGCCCGGUGCCGGAAGGUUAAUUGAUGGGGUUAGCGGUAACGCGAAGCUCUUGAUCGAAGCCCCGGUAAACGGCGGCCGUAACUAUAACGGUCCUAAGGUAGCGAAAUUCCUUGUCGGGUAAGUUCCGACCUGCACGAAUGGCGUAAUGAUGGCCAGGCUGUCUCCACCCGAGACUCAGUGAAAUUGAACUCGCUGUGAAGAUGCAGUGUACCCGCGGCAAGACGGAAAGACCCCGUGAACCUUUACUAUAGCUUGACACUGAACAUUGAGCCUUGAUGUGUAGGAUAGGUGGGAGGCUUUGAAGUGUGGACGCCAGUCUGCAUGGAGCCGACCUUGAAAUACCACCCUUUAAUGUUUGAUGUUCUAACGUUGGCCCGUAAUCCGGGUUGCGGACAGUGUCUGGUGGGUAGUUUGACUGGGGCGGUCUCCUCCUAAAGAGUAACGGAGGAGCACGAAGGUUGGCUAAUCCUGGUCGGACAUCAGGAGGUUAGUGCAAUGGCAUAAGCCAGCUUGACUGCGAGCGUGACGGCGCGAGCAGGUGCGAAAGCAGGUCAUAGUGAUCCGGUGGUUCUGAAUGGAAGGGCCAUCGCUCAACGGAUAAAAGGUACUCCGGGGAUAACAGGCUGAUACCGCCCAAGAGUUCAUAUCGACGGCGGUGUUUGGCACCUCGAUGUCGGCUCAUCACAUCCUGGGGCUGAAGUAGGUCCCAAGGGUAUGGCUGUUCGCCAUUUAAAGUGGUACGCGAGCUGGGUUUAGAACGUCGUGAGACAGUUCGGUCCCUAUCUGCCGUGGGCGCUGGAGAACUGAGGGGGGCUGCUCCUAGUACGAGAGGACCGGAGUGGACGCAUCACUGGUGUUCGGGUUGUCAUGCCAAUGGCACUGCCCGGUAGCUAAAUGCGGAAGAGAUAAGUGCUGAAAGCAUCUAAGCACGAAACUUGCCCCGAGAUGAGUUCUCCCUGAGACUUAGAGUCUCCUGAAGGAACGUUGAAGACGACGACGUUGAUAGGCCGGGUGUGUAAGCGCAGCGAUGCGUUGAGCUAACCGGUACUAAUGAACCGUGAGGCUUAACCUUACAACGCCGAAG